rnacentral:rRNA from 1 species
GAUGAACGCUGGCGGCGUGCCUAAUACAUGCAAGUCGAGCGAACGGACGAGAAGCUUGCUUCUCUGAUGUUAGCGGCGGACGGGUGAGUAACACGUGGAUAACCUACCUAUAAGACUGGGAUAACUUCGGGAAACCGGAGCUAAUACCGGAUAAUAUUUUGAACCGCAUGGUUCAAAAGUGAAAGACGGUCUUGCUGUCACUUAUAGAUGGAUCCGCGCUGCAUUAGCUAGUUGGUAAGGUAACGGCUUACCAAGGCAACGAUGCAUAGCCGACCUGAGAGGGUGAUCGGCCACACUGGAACUGAGACACGGUCCAGACUCCUACGGGAGGCAGCAGUAGGGAAUCUUCCGCAAUGGGCGAAAGCCUGACGGAGCAACGCCGCGUGNAGUGAUGAAGGUCUUCGGAUCGUAAAACUCUGUUAUUAGGGAAGAACAUAUGUGUAAGUAACUGUGCACAUCUUGACGGUACCUAAUCAGAAAGCCACGGCUAACUACGUGCCAGCAGCCGCGGUAAUACGUAGGUGGCAAGCGUUAUCCGGAAUUAUUGGGCGUAAAGCGCGCGUAGGCGGUUUUUUAAGUCUGAUGUGAAAGCCCACGGCUCAACCGUGGAGGGUCAUUGGAAACUGGAAAACUUGAGUGCAGAAGAGGAAAGUGGAAUUCCAUGUGUAGCGGUGAAAUGCGCAGAGAUAUGGAGGAACACCAGUGGCGAAGGCGACUUUCUGGUCUGUAACUGACGCUGAUGUGCGAAAGCGUGGGGAUCAAACAGGAUUAGAUACCCUGGUAGUCCACGCCGUAAACGAUGAGUGCUGAGUGUUAGGGGGUUUCCGCCCCUUAGUGCUGCAGCUAACGCAUUAAGCACUCCGCCUGGGGAGUACGACCGCAAGGUUGAAACUCAAAGGAAUUGACGGGGACCCGCACAAGCGGUGGAGCAUGUGGUUUAAUUCGAAGCAACGCGAAGAACCUUACCAAAUCUUGACAUCCUUUGACAACUCUAGAGAUAGAGCUUUCCCCUUCGGGGACAAAGUGACAGGUGGUGCAUGGUUGUCGUCAGCUCGUGUCGUGAGAUGUUGGGUUAAGUCCCGCAACGAGCGCAACCCUUAAGGCUUAGUUGCCAUCAUUAAGUUGGGCACUCUAAGUUGACUGCCGGUGACAAACCGGAGGAAGGUGGGGAUGACGUCAAAUCAUCAUGCCCCUUAUGAUUUGGGCUACACACGUGCUACAAUGGACAAUACAAAGGGCAGCGAAACCGCGAGGUCAAGCAAAUCCCAUAAAGUUGUUCUCAGUUCGGAUUGUAGUCUGCAACUCGACUACAUGAAGCUGGAAUCGCUAGUAAUCGUAGAUCAGCAUGCUACGGUGGAUACGUUCCCGGGUCUUGUACACACCGCCCGUCACACCACGAGAGUUUGUAACACCCGAAGCCGGUGGAGUAACCUUUUAGGAGCUAGCCGUCGAAGGUGGGACAAAUGAUUGGGGUGAAGUCGUAACAAGGUAGCCGUAUCGGAAGG